rnacentral:rRNA from 1 species
AUUUUUUAGAAAUGAUUAAAAAUGGUUUCUGCUCAAUGUUCUAUAAAUGGCCGCAGUAUAUUGACUGUGCAAAGGUAGCAUAAUAAUUAGUCUUAUAAUUGAAGACUGGAAUGAAAGAAUAAACUGGAAAAGUUCUUUUCUAUCCUUCUUUUUAAACUUUACCUUUUAGUAAAAAGGCUAAAAUAAUACUUUUAGACAAGAAGACCCUAUAAAGCUUUACAUAAGAUAAUUCAAUAAAUUAAAAAUAUGUUUUACUGGGGCGGUAAAAAGAAAAACACUUUUAAAUUAUUAAAAAUAUUAUAAUUCCAAUACCCAAAAAUUUUGAAUAUUAAAUAAGCUACUUUAGGGAUAACAGCGUAAUGUGUUUUGAAAGCUCAAAUUGACAAACAUGUUUGCGACCUCGAUGUUGGAUUAGUUUUCCUUUAUUAUGCAAGAGUAUUAAUAGGAGGUCUGUUCGACCUUUAAAAAACUCCA